GCCCUUUACAGGCCUGUAAGCGCCAUUGAUGUACAUGUAAGAGGGUAUUAAAGUUUCGCUAUUCAUGUCUUCUGUUGCGGAAGGAGUCUUUGGCAUAACACAGCAGUCACUCUGCUCCACAACCAAGGAAAUCACAUUCCUUCUCACAGACGACUCAAUUUCACACCCUCAGCUGGAUUAAGAGGACUCUCUGCUCCGGGCCUGCACAGGAAAAAAGGCCCCUGACCUUCACCGUGUACGACUCGGAUACUUCUCUGGCAAAAGGCGAGGCCGGGUUCUCUCUAAUGGGAGACGCUUGACCUUGUCAGGAACUAAGGGAGAGGUCAGGAGUGAGGCGGGCCGUAAUGGCCCCGAGAGAGAUGAGGCGCAGUCAAGAAACACCUGCAAUAAUGACGGGGAGCGCUGUAGCGUUCAGCACUGCAGCCCAGUGUGGCAUUUGGACACGUACACAAUAGCAUCCACUCCUCUGAAGUGUUGCUGA
rnacentral:lncRNA from 1 species